rnacentral:snRNA from 1 species
GUGCUUGCUUCGGCAGCACAUAUGCUCAAAUUGGAACGAUACAGAGAAGAUUAGCAUUGCCCCUGCCCAAGGAUGACAUGCAAAUUCGUGAAGCAUUCCAUAUUUUU